CAGAAUCCCCCCUAAACGUAAUGAUGCCGUAGCGCCGCGGAUCUUCGGUUGGUCAGCGAUAGCCGACUUCGGUCGGUGAGCAGAGCCGUUCGUGACCGGGUUCAGGUGCGGCCGGAUGAUGGUCGCCCCUAUCUCCCCACCUUACACAUCAUGUUCAUGGAAAACGUGGUGCUAAAUGACUCGUAGACGACCUGAUUCUGGGUCAGGGUGUCGUACGUAGCAGAGCAGCUCACUCGNUGCGAUCU
rnacentral:rRNA from 1 species